rnacentral:rRNA from 1 species
AAGUCCCGUAACGAGCGCAACCCUUGUCCUUAGUUACCAGCACGUUAUGUGGGCACUCUAAGGAGACGUGCCGGUGACAAACCGGAGGAAGGUGGGGAUGACGUCAAGUCAUCAUGGCCCUUACGGCCUGGGCUACACACGUGCUACAAUGGUCGGUACAAAGGGUUGCCAAGCCGCGAGGUGGAGCUAAUCCCAUAAAACCGAUCGUAGUCCGGAUCGCAGUCUGCAACUCGACUGCGUGAAGUCGGAAUCGCUAGUAAUCGUGAAUCAGAAUGUCACGGUGAAUACGUUCCCGGGCCUU